CGAAAGCCUGACGCAGCGACGCCGCGUGAGGGAUGAAGGCCUUCGGGUCGUAAACCUCUGGUCAGGGGGGAAGAACCCUGGAUCGGUGAAUAACCGGACCAGCUGACGGUACCCCCAGAGGAAGCACCGGCUAACUCCGUGCCAGCAGCCGCGGUAAGACGGAGGGUGCGAACGUUGUUCGGAAUCACUGGGCGUAAAGGGCGCGCAGGCGGACUCGCAAGUCGGGAGUGAAAACUCGGGGGCUCAACCCCGAGCCUGCUUCCGAAACUACGAGUCUUGAGGACCGGAGAGGAAAGUGGAAUUCCCAGUGUAGCGGUGGAAUGCGUAGAUAUUGGGAAGAACACCAGUGGCGAAGGCGACUUUCUGGACGGUUCCUGACGCUGAGGCGCGAAAGCUAGGGGAGCAAACAGGAUUAGAUACCCUGGUAGUCCUAGCCGUAAACGAUGAGUGCUAGGUGGUGGUGGUUUCAACACCUUCACUGCCGAAGCUAACGCAUUAAGCACUCCGCCUGGGGAGUACGGCCGCAAGGUUG
rnacentral:rRNA from 1 species